CAGCACAACUGGUAUCAAACUGGCACACAACACCUUUACAGGAAGGUGUCAAAGGAGGUUAAAGCUUCAGCAGAAAUGAAGCACAGCUGAGAACAGACAACAACUGUGUGGGAACAGGAAGAUCAACCAAGGACAAAGAAACCAGAAAUCCGAGCUGACAACAGACUACCCUGUGGUCAGUUGCUUUGAUUAGCAGUGUCAACCCUCUACCUUUACCUAGCUUCGCAUUCGACUUGAAUGCCACAUCUGCCCUCAAUAUUUAGGAUCCAAUCCUUGUCACCCUGAAGCUAUGUCUCUGUAAGGAGUCUCAGAUCAUAAUUAUUCUCUUCAA